UUGCCCUAGUAACGGCGAGUGAAGCGGCAACAGCUCAAAUUUGAAAUCUGGCUCUUUUAGAGUCCGAGUUGUAAUUUGCAGAGGGCGCUUUGGCUUUGGCAGCGGUCCAAGUUCCUUGGAACAGGACGUCACAGAGGGUGAGAAUCCCGUACGUGGUCGCUGGCUAUUGCCGUGUAAAGCCCCUUCGACGAGUCGAGUUGUUUGGGAAUGCAGCUCUAAAUGGGAGGUACAUUUCUUCUAAAGCUAAAUAUUGGCCAGAGACCGAUAGCGCACAAGUAGAGUGAUCGAAAGAUGAAAAGCACUUUGGAAAGAGAGUCAAACAGCACGUGAAAUUGUUAAAAGGGAAGCGCUUGCAGCCAGACUUGCUUGCAGUUGCUCAUCCGGGCUUUUGCCCGGUGCACUCUUCUGUAGGCAGGCCAGCAUCAGUUUGGGCGGUAGGAUAAAGGUCUCUGUCACGUACCUCCUUUCGGGGAGGCCUUAUAGGGGAGACGACAUACUACCAGCCUGGACUGAGGUCCGCGCAUCUGCUAGGAUGCUGGCGUAAUGGCUGUAAGCGGCCCGUCUUGAAACACGGACCAAGGAGUCUAACAUCUAUGCGAGUGUUUGGGUGUCAAGCCCGAGCGCGUAAUGAAAGUGAACGGAGGUGGGAACCCGCAAGGGUGCACCAUCGACCGAUCCUGAUGUCUUCGGAAGGAUUUGAGUAAGAGCAUGGCUGUUGGGACCCGAAAGAUGGUGAACUAUGCUUGAAUAGGGUGAAGCCAGAGGAAACUCUGGUGGAGGCUCGCAGCGGUUCUGACGUGCAAAUCGAUCGUCAAAUUU
rnacentral:rRNA from 1 species